rnacentral:tRNA from 1 species
GCCUGGCUGGCUCAGUUGGUGGAGCGUGUGACUCUUGAUCUCAGGGUUGUGAGUUCGAGCCCCAUGUUGGGUA